rnacentral:rRNA from 1 species
CAAUAGCGUAUAUUAAAGUUGUUGCAGUUAAAAAGCUCGUAGUUGGAUUUGUGGCGUACGGUGGGUUCCGGGCACUUGUUGUCUGAGUAACUUGCUGUUGCCAUCCUUGGGUGGAACCUGUGUGGUAUUAGGUUGUCGUGCAGGGGAUGCCCAUCAUUUACUGUGAAAAAAUUAGAGUGUUCAAAGCAGGCUUAUGCCGUUGAAUAUAUUAGCAUGGAAUAAUGAGAUAGGACUUUUUUGCUAUUUUGUUGGUUUGCGCAAAGAGGUAAUGAUUAAUAGGGACAGUUGGGGGUAUUCGUAUUCCAUUGUCAGAGGUGAAAUUCUUGGAUUUUUGGAAGACGAACUACUGCGAAAGCAUUUACCAAGGAUGUUUUCAUUAA